rnacentral:lncRNA from 1 species
CUCUCCCAACCCGGGCUCCCGGUAAGCGCGGUCGCCGCUCCUCUGAGGGCUGCUCUUCCCUCGCUUCUGAGCCGAGGCCCCCGCGACACGAACGCCACGCCCGAAGCGCUCUUGCCAGGACGUACUGACCGAGGGUAGGCUGCCCAGCCGGGUGGUAACGUUGAGGAAAGGACAGCAGCUUCGCAAAGGAGCUGGGUAAAACCACGCCCAGACCCCGCUGGCCACCAGCCCGAGACCAAGACGCAGGCGGUGGCGCCGGUUUCUCACUCAACCGCAGGUUCCAGCAUCCCCGAUACGGCCGACGUCAUUACCCUGCGACCGCUCAGGACACUUCUGAGGACUCUUUUGACAGCUAGUAAUCGCGCGGUGGCGCGACCACGUGACUCCGGCGCCCUAGCCCCGCCCUCCGUCUCCAAGGAGCCCUGGAAGGAGCUAUACCAGCGGCUCCAGAAGGCGGGGAGAGGCGGGGCCGGACUCCGGGACAGCCAAUGGGCGAGGAGUGCCGCCCAGCCUGACCCACCGGCCGCUCCCUCACGAGCCUGUGGGCGUGCGCCGGCUGUGCAGGUGAGGGGCAGCGAGGGCGCCUAGUGGGCAGGGCGCCGGCGUUGCGCGUGCGUCAGUGUUCUUCCUUGUGCAGUUUAGAAUUUGAUACAUUUCUUUCCAGUCUAUUUCUAUAGAUUUGUUUUCAAAUCACAUCAGACCCUAUGUAAAAUAGUGUACCGUCUUUACUCAUUAUAACAUGGUGAGCAUUUCCCCAAGCUAUUACACAUAUUUUUAAACAUUGUUUUAAUGACCGGCAUAAUAAUCCAGUGCUUGGAUAUAUCAAAUUCUUCG